rnacentral:rRNA from 1 species
UACGUAGGGGGCAAGCGUUGUCCGGAUUUAUUGGGCGUAAAGAGCGUGUAGGCGGCCAGGGAGGUCCGUUGUGAAAACUCGAGGCUCAACCUCGAGACGCCGAUGGAAACCCCCUGGCUAGAGUCCGGAAGAGGAGAAUGGAAUUCCUGGUGUAGCGGUGAAAUGCGCAGACAUCAGGAAGAACACCCGUGGCUAAGGCGGUUCUCUAGUACGGUACUGACGCUGAGACGCGAAAGCGUGGGGAGCGAACAGG